rnacentral:rRNA from 1 species
AGUGAACGCUGGCGGUAGGCCUAACACAUGCAAGUCGAACGGCAGCACAGUAAGAGCUUGCUCUUACGGGUGGCGAGUGGCGGACGGGUGAGGAAUACAUCGGAAUCUACUUUUUCGUGGGGGACAACGUAGGGAAACUUACGCUAAUACCGCAUACGACCUACGGGUGAAAUUAGGGGAGCUUCGGACCUUGCGCGAUUGAAUGAGCCGAUGUCGGAUUAGCUAGUUGGCGGGGUAAAGGCCCACCAAGGCGACGAUCCGUAGCUGGUCUGAGAGGAUGAUCAGCGACACUGGAACUGAGACACGGUCCAGACUCCUACGGGAGACAGCAGUGGGGAAUAUUGGACAAUGGGCGCAAGCCUGAUCCAGCCAUACCGCGUGGGUGAAGAAGGCCUUCGGGUUGUAAAGCCCUUUUGUUGGGAAAGAAAAGCAUCAGGUUAAAACCCCGCUGUUCUGACGGUACCCAAAGAAUAAGCACCGGCUAACUACGUG